UACGAAGGGGGCUAGCGUUGCUCGGAAUCACUGGGCGUAAAGGGUGCGUAGGUGGGUCUUUAAGUCAGAGGUGAAAUCCUGGAGCUCAACUCCAGAACUGCCUUUGAUACUGAGGAUCUUGAGUUCGGGAGAGGUGAGUGGAACUGCGAGUGUAGAGGUGAAAUUCGUAGAUAUUCGCAAGAACACCAGUGGCGAAGGCGGCUCACUGGCCCGAUACUGACGCUGAGGUGCGAAAGCGUGGGGAGCAAACAGG
rnacentral:rRNA from 1 species